GACAGAGGGUGCAAACGUUGCUCGGAAUCACUGGGCGUAAAGGGCGUGUAGGCGGGAAGGAUAGUCAGAUGUGAAAUCCCUGGGCUCAACCCAGGAACUGCAUUUGAAACUCCCUUUCUUGAGUGUCGGAGAGGAAAGCGGAAUUCCUGGUGUAGAGGUGAAAUUCGUAGAUAUCAGGAGGAACACCGGUGGCGAAGGGCGGCUUUCUGGACGACAACUGACGCUGAGACGCGAAAGCGUGGGAGCAAACAGG
rnacentral:rRNA from 1 species